UACAGAGGGUGGGAGCGUUAAUCGGAAUUACUGGGCGUAAAGGGCGCGUAGGCGGAUUAUUAAGUUAGAUGUGAAAUCCCUGGGCUUAACCUAGGAACUGCAUCUAAUACUGGUAAUCUAGAGUGCGGUAGAGGAUAGUGGAAUUUCCGGUGUAGCGGUGAAAUGCGUAGAUAUCGGAAGGAACACCAGUGGCGAAGGCGGCUAUCUGGACUGACACUGACGCUGAGGCGCGAGAGCGUGGGGAG
rnacentral:rRNA from 1 species